UACGGGGGGGGGCAAGCGUUGUUCGGAAUUACUGGGCGUAAAGGGCUCGUAGGCGGCCAACUAAGUCAGACGUGAAAUCCCUCGGCUUAACCGGGGAACGGCCUCUGAUACUGGCUGGCUGGAGUUCGGGAGAGGGAUGCGGAAUUCCAGGUGUAGCGGUGAAAUGCGUAGAUAUCUGGAGGAACACCGGUGGCGAAGGCGGCAUCCUGGACCGGCAUUGACGCUGAGGAGCGAAAGCCAGGGGAGCAAAGCGGG
rnacentral:rRNA from 1 species